UACGAAGGGGGCUAGCGUUGUUCGGAAUCACUGGGCGUAAAGGGCGCGUAGGCGGGCCAUCAAGUCUGGGGUGAAAUACUUCGGCUUAACCGGAGAAUAGCCUUGGAUACUGAUGGUCUUGAGGGAGAUAGGGGUGCGUGGAACUUCCGGUGGAGCGGUGAAAUGCGUAGAUAUCGGAAGGAACGCCGGUGGCGAAAGCGGCGCACUGGAUCUCUUCUGACGCUGAGGCGCGAAAGCUAGGGGAGCGAACGGG
rnacentral:rRNA from 1 species